GAUGAACGCUGGCGGCGUGCCUAAUACAUGCAAGUCGAGCGAAUGGAUUGAGAGCUUGCUCUUAUGAAGUUAGCGGCGGACGGGUGAGUAACACGUGGGUAACCUGCCCAUAAGACUGGGAUAACUCCGGGAAACCGGGGCUAAUACCGGAUAACAUUUUGAACCGCAUGGUUCGAAAUUGAAAGGCGGCUUCGGCUGUCACUUAUGGAUGGACCCGCGUCGCAUUAGCUAGUUGGUGAGGUAACGGCUCACCAAGGCAACGAUGCGUAGCCGACCUGAGAGGGUGAUCGGCCACACGGGGACUGAAACCCGGCCCAGACUCCUACGGGAGGCAGCGGUAGGGAAUCUUCCGCAAUGGACGAAAGUCUGACGGAGCAACGCCGCGUGAGUGAUGAAGGCUUUCGGGUCGUAAAACUCUGUUGUUAGGGAAGAACAAGUGCUAGUUGAAUAAGCUGGCACCUUGACGGUACCUAACCAGAAAGCCACGGCUAGCUACGUGCCAGCCGCCGCCGUAA
rnacentral:rRNA from 1 species